rnacentral:rRNA from 1 species
CCCUUAGACGUUCUGGGCCGCACGCGCGCUACACUGACACAGGCAACGAGCUUUCCUUUACCGAAAGGUAUGGGUAAUCUUUUGAAACUGUGUCGUGCUGGGGAUAGAUCCUUGCAAUUUUUGAUCUUAAACGAGGAAUUCCUAGUAAGCGCGAGUCAUCAACUCGCGUUGAUUACGUCCCUGCCCUUUGUACACACCGCCCGUCGCUACUACCGAUUGAAUGGUUUAGUGAGGCCUCAGGAUCCGCGCUUAAUGUGUGGAGAAUUUGGACAAACUACGUCAUUUAGAGGAAGUAAAAGUCGUAACA